rnacentral:rRNA from 1 species
AUUGAACGCUGGCGGCAUGCUUUACACAUGCAAGUCGAACGGCAGCGCGGGCUUCGGCCUGGCGGCGAGUGGCGAACGGGUGAGUAAUGCAUCGGAACGUGCCCAGUAGUGGGGGAUAGCCCGGCGAAAGCCGGAUUAAUACCGCAUACGACCUGAGGGUGAAAGCGGGGGACCGAAAGGCCUCGCGCUAUUGGAGCGGCCGAUGUCGGAUUAGCUAGUUGGUGGGGUAAAGGCUUACCAAGGCGACGAUCCGUAGCUGGUCUGAGAGGACGACCAGCCACACUGGGACUGAGACACGGCCCAGACUCCUACGGGAGGCAGCAGUGGGGAAUUUUGGACAAUGGGGGCAACCCUGAUCCAGCCAUGCCGCGUGCGGGAAGAAGGCCUUCGGGUUGUAAACCGCUUUUGUUCGGGAAGAAAUCCUCUGGGCUAAUACCCCGGGGGGAUGACGGUACCGGAAGAAUAAGCACAGGCUAACUACGUG